GAACAGCUGGAUGAAGACGUACAGCGUCUGGCUACCUACCUACACUGCUUCUCUGGCAGGUUCUGGUGGCUCCUGCAGCAGAAGACAAGGGAGACCGCUAGGGGCUCCCCUCCCAGACUAUUUAUGUAGGGUUAAUACCCGAUCCCGACACGUCACAGAGCGCGAACCUUUCUGUGACUGCGUCGUGCGAGCUAGAAUUUGUUACCGGUGUCGGCAGAGGUUUGCAGCCCGAGGCUCAUACUUCAGCCGACUCUCCCGAGCUGCCCGAGCUCCAUUGGGUCGGCGGCUGAACUGGAGAUUUUUGACACCUUCCAAAUGAUUAAACGUGUCUUCCUAGCGCUGGCCCUGGCGCCGUGCGCCCUUUCCCAGCUGCAGCUGGUGGCCUCCGGCCCUGGGGUGGGCAAAGUCUCCGAGCCCCUCACACUGACCUGCGCUGUCUCCGGGGUCUCCAUCACUUCUCAAAAUUACGAAUGGCACUGGCUCCGUCAGCCUCCUGGAAAAGGGCCCGAAUCCAUGGGACGGGUAUAUCUAUACACCGAUAGCACGCGCUACGCCCCGUCUCUCCAAGGCCGAGUCACCAUCUCUAGAGACACAGCCAAGAACCAGCUCUCUCUGCAGCUCCGCUCGCUGACAGCUGCAGACACCGCCGCCUAUUACUGCGCCAGGGGAGACACGGUGACACAGAGACAGGGGGCCUGGGACAAAAAGGGGGCGAGCCACACGCUUCGCCUCCCGGAGAGAAGGCACCUGACUUCGCCCCUGCGAUCCGCCCCCUCCCGCUGUCACUGGAAGGAGCCGCUUUGUCAGAGGCCACCAGGAAACUGGAGAGAAGGAGAGAAAGAGGAAGCACCUGCGCGUGUGAAUGGGCAGGAGAGAGACUUUGUUACAGGCGUCUGGCAGUUCUGGAAACCCCAGUCUAGGCCUGAGAUUGCAACAGACUCUCCUGUCCGCUGA